rnacentral:precursor_RNA from 15 species
UUGCCUGAAAUAUGUAUGUUUUUAAAAUUUUUACGUCUGUCCAAUUAUUUUGUGUUUAUUUUUAUUUCACAACAUAGAUGGCCAGACGUUACAAUUUUUUAAACAAAGCGGCUGUGAAGGAAA